CGCGGGUUUGAUUCCCACCUUGUCAGGCUAACUUUUCAGCCUGCCCGGUGUGGAUAUACACUCAGAGUAACAUCAAAAACAUUAUAUUCUGUUUAGUUACGAUUUUGUGAUUUAAUAAUUUUAUACAAUGUUAUGUAUUCAUUAUGUACCAGUAUUGGUAUUUUGUUAUGAAUAAAGUUAUUAUUACUGUUAUUAUAUAGAAUAUUGAAUAUUCCUUUAAUAAUAAGACCCCCUCCCCAGCCUCCGGUAAAAUAUGUUGCUUCCUCCGUGAAGAUCACUUUUGUUUAGAAUAUAAGCAAGAGCAAAAUAUAAUUUAGUUAGAAUAAGUGUUUUAUCUGACGGAUCAGAAAUAGUGAUCCCAAGUGAGGCUCAAAAAAAUGCGAACGUAACAACCCUAUGACAGAUCGGCCCCAAGAAAGGGAACGUGCAGACAAUGAGAACAAGGGAAUGUUGUGAUCUUGAUAUAGUCUAUAUUAGCAUGCAGGUACAUAUUAUAGAUACAUAUUAUGGAUUAUAUUGUCUACAAGUGUUUAUUUGAUAUGAAAACUCUGAUAAAUUACCUCACUUGACAAAGCUAAUACUCAUUUCCCUGGUAUCCUAGUGUCUUGCUCUGUAGUACGUUCUGGGGUCGGUUGUAUAAAACUCGUAACACUUUUUUAUCACUAUUUUGUAGUUAAAUAGUGAUUAACUCUCAGAUAGGCGCUUCUUAUUGGAUGACGUUUCCACUUAACCAUAGUUAACUUUAAUCACUUUUUUAUACAACCAGCCCCAGCUAUUGUAUUUGAGUAUUGGUCGUAUCUUCCUUUAGAAAGGCAUUAGGCUGUGGGCCAUUGUGCGAAAAAGUGCUUAGAAAAGCAAUUUCGUGGCAACCAGGGCAUUUUUUAACUAUAUAACUACUGGGGCAUUUACCCCAGUAGGCCCUUUGCUUACCCUAGUAGUGAAGCAUGAUUUUCAGAUGAGCUGGGCCCUUUGGAUCAUUAGUAAAAAGUCAAUCUUGUUGACUGAAAAUCUGCCUGCUUUCUCAUAUCCUAUCACAUUCUCGACAUUCCAUCUUAUAAUAGUCAGAACAGGCAGGGGCGGCGCUAAAGGGGGGAUGUGAGUUUGGG